rnacentral:rRNA from 1 species
GACGUAGGGGGCAAGCGUUGUCCGGAAUCAUUGGGCGUAAAGGGCGUGUAGGCGGCCCGGUAAGUCCGCUGUGAAAGUCUAGGGCUCAACCCUGGAAUGCCGGUGGAAACUGUCGGGCUAGAGUCCGGGAAGAGGCGAGUGGAAUUCCGUGGUGUAGCGGUGAAAUGCGCAGAUAUCAGGAGGAACACCAAUGGCGAAGGCAGCUCGCUGGGACGGUACUGACGCUGAGACGCGAAAGCGUGGGGAGCAAACAGG